GCCGAGACGGCGACUAAGCACGAGUUAGACCUUACGAGCUCCGGAAGAUGCGAGAACCCAGCGCAGCUGAAGGUUUUCAACAAUAACUUUCUUUCAGGAUCUCUUCAGACAUCCUUCAGGCCUAUCGAGUAAUAGAAAACAGAAAGCAUAUUAAAAUGGAAGAAGGAAACAGACAGAAAUGGAGAAGAGAGCCUUUCCCAGAAAGGGAAACUUGCAAUACUGCAUCCAACAGAGGUGAGAAGAGAGAUACAAGACGAGGUGAAGAGAAGGCCCCGGAGCUGUAUGGCUUAGAGCUGACAUUUCCCAUAUUGCACUGAGAGCUCAGAUGAAGGAAUGGCAGAUGUUGGCAGAAGAAAUUCCACUGGAGAAAAACAUUCCAGCAGGCAGACAGACUUGGAGAUGAAGAGAGGAUUUCUGUUUAAGAGUCCCUAUGUAAGAUACUGCUGUAAUAAUUAUUUUUGUAAGAAAA